rnacentral:rRNA from 1 species
ACUCCUACGGGAGGCAGCAGUGGGGAAGUCUUGGACAAUGGGCGCAAGCCUGAUCCAGCCAUGCCGCGUGAGUGAUGAAGGCCCUAGGGUCGUAAAGCUCUUUCGCCAGGGAUGAUAAUGACAGUACCUGGUAAAGAAACCCCGGCUAACUCCGUGCCAGCAGCCGCGGUAAUACGGAGGGGUUAGCGUUGUUCGGAAUUACUGGGCGUAAAGCGCGCGUAGGCGGACUGGAAAGUUGGGGUGGAAAUCCCGGGGGCUCAACCUCGGAACUGCCUCCAAAACUCCCAGUCUUGAGUUCGAGAGAGGUGAGUGGAAUUCCGAGUGUAGAGGUGAAAUUCGUAGAUAUUCGGAGGAACACCAGUGGCGAAGGCGGCUCACUGGCUCGAUACUGACGCUGAGGUGCGAAAGUGUGGGGAGCAAACA